rnacentral:lncRNA from 1 species
UGUAUGGGCCUGAAGUAAGACAAACUGCAAAUCUAUCCUCAAAGCAGGAAUGCUUAUUUUGUCUUGGAAUUGUAGGGGGACUCUGAAGCUCUCAUUCUCUUAGGCAACCUUGGGUUCACAGCAUUAAAGAUGUUUCUUAUACUGUCUCAGGGACUUUCUUGUGGUACGUAUAAUAGUUGUUUGAAAGAGCACAUCCAUCGGCA